AAGAAAGAGAAGAAGAGGAAAAAGAGGAAGAAGAACAAGAAGAGGAAGAAGAAAGACAAGAAGAGGAAGGAAAAGAAGAUGCAGCUGAUCAGCUCCCUGAUGUGGAAGAACACUGGGAAGAAUAUGAGCUGGAAGAAGAGCUGGAUGAUGGUGGCAAGAUGGAAAACAAGGACACUUUUGAAGAUGCUGGAGACCAGUCUGAUUCUAGCACGCAAAGCUCAGAACACUCUUUGGGCACCACUGGCAACAUUCAGCCUCUGAAGUCUGCAGACAGAAUUUGCAUAUUAACCUCACAGAGAAACCUGCAAUUGCUCGAUGACAUGGUCAGGGAAAAGGAAC
rnacentral:lncRNA from 1 species